GGCCAGGGAGCCGCAGGCAAGGGACUAAGGGGAGGGGGGCUCAGUGCCAGCUGCUUAAAAAUGCCCCUGUGGCAGCGAGGGGCACCAGAGGCUGGGUCUAAUUAGUUGAGAAGCAGUGACACCCCCAACCACUCCCCAAACAGGCUGGCUCCCGUCUCCAGGCCCCAAGGAGCCACACCUGGACCAGACCCCAGGAAAGACAUGUGGUGGAAACCCUACGGCCCUGGAGCCCAAGGAGAGCAACGGCUGUAACAAGUGCACAGGCAAGGGCGCUAGCUGGUGGGAGCCACCCCGCCAUGCUGAUGUCAGAGAAGCAAGAACUCUGGAGAAGCAGCCUCCUGGGACCAGAGGAGGGCCAGCAGCAGGCAGCCCGGAGACAGAACUGCACAUGAAAGUGACUGUGACCCGCAACGGGAGCCUUGACAACCAGCCAAUUCAGAACACAGACCUUGACAUCGGAAGGCCCCGAGUUCAAAUCCUGCCUUGCUCCCUUUCAGCUGGAAAGCUGUGGUCAAAUUACUUAGCCUCUCCAAGCCAGUUUUCCCUUCUGCAAAAUGAGGUUACACAAGCUGCCACCUCACAGAAUGAGUCUCACCCACGCCUCUCCAAGCCUCCCAACAGAAGACAGAGGUCCCCCACAGCCAGAGACAUUUCCUGAAGACAUGGGGAACACAGAGGCAGAAACAGCCCAUCCACCCAGGAGCUGUCCCCCACACUGCCGGGAGCCGGCACCCAGAGCCGCCAGGUAAAACUGAGGCCACCUGGUUCAACAUCACCUUUCACAGAAGGGGAAGCAGCCACAGAAAGAAGGGCCUCGUUAAGAAGUGGAACCUGGGACCCCCAAGCGGUGUCUCUCAUCCUGACUGGGGAUCCAGAGUAGGAGGGAGCCUUUGGUGGGACACAAAGGAACAGAACGAGGCACCAACAGCAAGGGGCAAGCAGAUUCAAGGGCCACAGAGGAGAUGGAGGCAAACACCUUCCCCUGGUCAGAGGCUGUGCCUCAGCCCUUCUCCCUGCAUCAGUUUCUCCUUCAGAAGCAUGGGACUACCUCCCAUCUAGUUCUCGUUUCUAAACCUAGGGGAGAUGCUAUCUUUGCUGCAAUAAUCUUAGCCUACAUCUUGGAAUGGAAAUGGCCUUGGUGGAAAUGGUCUUCAACUCCUCUGGUCCAAGCUCAGGCCCUGUGACCCUGGAACAAUCCCCUUCCUGGUCCUCCAUGUAGGAGCAAUAACAUUCCCUUGCCAGCAGCACCAGCCAUUCUGAUGAUUAAAUGGUAUCGGACUCUGUUUUCCAAACUCAGUCAUUCAGAUGCCCCCUAUUUUAUUUCUUCCAUGUCUGCAAAUGAUUAUAAUAUUUUUAAAUGUAGGAUGAGUCCUUUUUAUUACACAUAGAAAUAGCUACUGUAAAUAGCAAACUCUAACACUGUGCCUAAUUAGGAAAUAAAGGUAACCAUAAAUACAGUAAAAAUGAAACAA
ensembl:lncRNA CARMN cardiac mesoderm enhancer-associated non-coding RNA